GUGGGGUCUGCCUGCCCAGCCGCCUCGGGCGUCUGGAUUCUUCCAUCAGCCCCUGGCGUCUUCAUGGUGGCUCCUCUGGAUCCCCCAGGAAGGGGGUUACAAAAAGUAGUCAACAGAUUUUGUCCUCCAAGCUUAGAAUUUGUGUCUCUAGUUAGAAAAACAAACACAGAGAAAACAAUUAGAAGGCAAUUAGGUCCUGCUGAGAAGCGUUGACUGAGCAAUAACGACACAGAGCCGAGGACGGGGACCUCACCUGGCAGGUCGGCUGCGAGCUUCUGGGAGGCUUGGGGUGACACGCGCUCCGGAGACCACCGCCCUCCGCCCACACCGAGCCUCAGCCCUCUGGUCUGAAAGAUGGGGGCGGGAUCCCUGCUUUCCGGGGCUCCGCGGACCACUCAGAACUGGGCUGAGACACCUGGCCGUUUCCGAGGCAGCCGGUCCUGGCGACUCGCCGUUGCCAGCGUCGACCAAAAACGUCAAAACUGCCUCGAGGAGGACGGGGGCCCUGCCCGGCGGGCAGCAUUCAGAGAUUGCGCCCCAGUUACUCUUGGUGGCCGCCCCCCUGCACAUCCCCCGGGGCCUUGUCUUCCUGAGGGAAGAAGUGACAGGAAGGCAGUGCCAGCUGCGUUACUGUCUGAGCUGCGCCGUGGGCAUCCCUGCAUCCCUAAGACGGGCUGGCCUCGGCCGGCCUGGCUGGAGUCCCUGUCGACGGUCCGUCCUCCGAGGGCCCUCCUGGAUCGGGCUUCUCUCCUCCCCAGCCGGCUGCCCACAGGCGGCGGCGGGAGCGUCAGCCAGCUGCAGCCGGACAGCCGGGUGCUGGAGGCUUUCUGUAGACACAUCUCUGCGCACGAGUACUGCUCAAGCUAGAGGGCCUCCCGUACGUCAUCAGCACUGGUUCUCUUUCAAGAUGGUGUGAAUUUAAACUAGUGGGAAUUCUAAUCCAUGUUGGAGCAAUGGAAUUGGAUGAAAGCAAAGGCUCCUGACCCUGGAAAGGGGGCGUAUACAAGGGUGCCGUCCUGUAAUGCCGAGGGGUUCACGGAACCCCGGAAGUCCGUCCCUGGCCUGAGGGUCUCCGCGGCACCUCGUUGAGAAUGUCCAUUCAGCUCAUGACAGUGGUGGGGCGAACUCAGAACUUUAUGGUCAUCUUAAUUUUAGUGUCUGGGAUUCUUGUUCCUACCUUUAGAUUACUUGUUUAAAGAGCACAGUGGGCUUAUUUUGAUCUUUAUAUAUAAGCUUCCUAAACGUAAGCUCCAGUAUCAUCGUGUGGGGUGGGAUGGGCGUUUCUAACCGCCUGUGUGGCAUCGCCCUCUGAGGUCUCCCCUGCCGGCCACCCUCCUGCCCUCCCUCCCCCUCCUCCCUCCGUGUCCACCCCCUGCACUGGGAUCUGCAGGGUCCGUAGGGCAAGGGGCCAGCUCACCACCGUCAUCUUGCCCUCAUGUCCACACACUGCCUCGGACACUCCCCAGCAUGUUGGGAGAAAUCUUGCUGGAUCUCAGAGGGUUUGCAGGGAGAAUCUGGAGACCUACAAUAAGCCACCCAAACUCCAAAGCGGAUCUUUAAGUUACGAACUUAGCUGUCCCCACAGAGUGGAACCCACUGGUGGGUCACACGGAUGAGAACUGGGAUGUCCUACUGGGCAGAGUUCAUGACACAGGGCGGUUUGAGAGGUGGUGACAGGAGCGGCUCGGAGGGAAUGGACGGGUAUUUCUAAGACACCUAGCGUGUGGCUAUUGCUACUCAUUUCAUCGUAGUACCGAGUCUUUCAGAAUAUUCUUAAACGAUUUACUUCAGAGCUCAAUAAAUAGAGUAACAAUAAUUUGCGUGUGGCUUAGGAAAUCUAUUUCCUUUAAAUUAGAAAAAUCAAAAAAUUUAAACAUUGAACAGUCUAUACUUUUAAUCUAAUCAGGCAAGUGAACCCUAGCCUUAAUGUUAAGGUGCUGCGGGCCGCCAGAAAGGAAUGCCACCUGCCCGUACCCUGGUUUUAACCCAGUGAGGUAAACCCUCGGGGUUGGACCUCUAACCCACGGAACCAACCGUAAGGCAGCAAAUUCGUGCUGUUUUUCAGCCAUUAUGCUUGUGGUUGGUUACAGCAGCCACAGAAGACUAAUACAGGGGACUUCCCUGGCGGUCCAGUGGUUAGGACUGCACUUCCAAUGCAGGGGGCAUGGAUCCCUGGUUGGUUGGGGAACUAAGAUCCCACGUGCCGCGUGGCACGGCCGAAAGAGAGAAAGAAAAGUAGUAACAGGUGUGAGCGUAGGUUAUUGUCGACGAGGCUGGCGCAGGAACUCAAGAGGUCCCCGAGCGAGUCGCAGGAGGCAGGGCUUCUGGAAGAGAUCUGUGCACUGCAUCCCCGCUGGAGCUCAGGGGACAGCCUUCUCUUAGGACGUUGCUGUAGCCAGUGCCCGAGGGAAGGCUCCUGCGGGCAGUUUUACACCGUCCCAAUGGCUCUGCCAGCGAAGACUUGCUUACUUUCGGAAACAUAUUCUGGGAUGUGCGAAUUCUAAACCAAAAAAUGAAAGUUUCUUUUCCCACACACGUUACUCUGUGCGCCUCUCUCCUGGACGGCUGGACUGGGCGUGGCUGCCUGGAGCCGGCUGGGUUUCAGGACAUGCCCUGCCUGGGGCCUUGGUAGCACUUCCAGCCUAGCUCCCGGGUGCAAAGCGGGCUGACGCCUUCCAGAGCGAAGGCGCGGGGUCCCUCGCUGACCCCUACGCUCUUCCAUUUACUCAACAGAUGCCGAUAUACGCAGCCCCACGGGGAGUGCUGGGGAGGUUUAGGAGCGGAAACAAAAGCUUGCGUGCCGGCUGGGGGGACGAUAAAGUGUUACGUGGCUGGCCUUGCGCGUGGUGGAGGGUGCCCUGGAGCGGGGCAGGGGGGUAGGGACUGGCCCAGCGCGGGGGGGCAGCUGUUGCAGGGAGCCGUGAAGGCAGCCUCGCACACUUGGCACCGGAGGGCCCCGGUCGAGGGGCUGGCCUGAUGCCAAACCCCGGCAGCUGGCAGGUGUGGGCGGAGCCGAGGGAGGAGGUAACGAGCGGACAGGGCAGAGCCGGGAGGGGUGACCGCGAGGGCUUGAGGCCGUGGUUUCCGUGGCGGCAGACGGGACUCACUGCACGUUCUGAGCGGAGGCGGGCGCGCCCUGUGCGUGCAUCCGACCGGGGGCGCUCGGGGCCUCGGGUGGAGCAGGGCAUUCAGGCCGGAGGCGGUGCGCCGAGCCAGGUGACGUAGCCGGUGGCUGGGACCAGGGUGCAAGCAGCGGGGCUGGAGAGAGGGCUCAGACCCUGGGUUUUGAAAGCUUAAGUCCAAGAUCAAGUCACUCGUGAUUUAUGUAAAGUGAAUGUCAUCCCAUCCCGUUACUUUGUCAAGGUGACCCGCAACUACCAGGUCGGUGAAGAGUGUACCCCCUGUUGCGAUCAGCUGACUGGAGUGGCCCAAUCCCGUGUGGAGGGAGCAUUUCGAAGGUUAACAAUGAGGAGCCUGCUAACGUGAUCAGAUACGGACUAGCUCUCAUUCCUGAAUUGUGCUGAGACGUUGAUUCAUUUGAAGUGAAGAAGGCAAGUGGUAACUAUUGCUCUUGUAUCAAAGAAUAUCAUGUAUUACAUGCCUGUAUUUGACUUAUAAAAUGUAUUUGUCUAGAUAUCUUUAUGCCUGUAUUUGACUUAUAAAAUCUGUUUGUGUCUAGA